rnacentral:lncRNA from 1 species
CCGUUCAUAUUUUUUGGUUACAAAUCCUAUCUUUUAUUCUUGAAUCCUUUUACAGAUUUCAAAGAAUCCAAAAAAAUCAGCAUUUUGAAUUCAAAUUCUAAUAAUAAAUAUUCUGACUCCAUUUAAUACGUCUUCAACUUUCAUUCCAAUUGUCAAAUUUGAUUGUGCUUUCUUCUUCAACAAUACGUUUUCUGUAGGGGAUACAUCAUAAGCAAUUGGGUUAGUUCAUCUUCAUAAACAAAUAAUUCUUACAUUUUUCUGAAAAUACUUUAAUACCAAUCUACUUUUAGUUCUUAUCUUUUUGUUGAGAUGCAUCCUACUUGACUAAUCGAAUUCUUCUUCGAUUGCUUGAUAAAUAAACUCAAUAUCACAAACCAAUAAUUCUAACCUUUUUCUAAAAAUACUUUAAUACCAAUGUACUUUCAGUUCUUAUCUGUUUGCUGAGAUGAAUCCUUCUUAACUAAUCGAUUUCUGCUUCGAUUUCUUGAUAAAUAAACUCAAUAUCAUAUCCUAUAAUGAAUGUUCAAUUCUUUUUUCUGCAAAAUAUAUAUAUNNNNNAUAUAUAUAAUUAUUUCAAGAUUGUUGAUUUGGUACAUUUAAAUCUAAAUAUGCAUAAACAGUUAUAAUUAUAACAAGAUCUGUCUUUUUUCCUUAAAGAACUAAUGUCAGUUUCUAUUGUAACAUAUUUUUUAAAACUCUUUUCACAUACUUUUUAGAUGAAAAAAAUUAAACUUUCUGUUAAAAUUGUAUUCAGUGUAAUCAACAUUACAUCAAAAAUAGAAAAGUGACUUACAUAUAUGACUACAACCGAACAAUUUACAUUCUUUAUUUUGUCAAUAUUCUAUAUCAAAAUAGAAAAUGUUUAAUAAAUUGAAGCAUGAAAGCACUGUUAGGUCUAUAAUAGCAAUUUACUUUUCAACUUACUCGACAAUUGCUAACAAUAAUUAGUUUUGCAUGUAUUAUAGCAACAUACAUGUAAUUCUUUAAUUAAGAAAUAAAAAUAAAGAUGAAUCUUUGAUUACUCUAUGGACAUACACACAAAAGAACAAAUCCCAACAAUUUAAUAUUUAUGAAGGGUCCAUGGAAAUGUUCGAACUUAAACUACUAUCAAUGAAGUUACGGGAGCUCAAAUAAAGCAGAAAGUUGCUAUAAUCGAUUUUAAAUAGUGCAUUCAAAACCUUGAUUCGUUUUUGUUUUUAGUAAUUCAAUAUUGGUUGAAUCAAGCUAAGUAAUUAUCUGUUUAAUCGUAUUUAAAUCCAAUUAAAUGAUACAUAAAUGAGGAAUAUGAUAAUGAUGUAAUGGCAUAAAAUUGUUUUUGGCACUGGCCUCGAAGAAGCUUUGCGAGAUGAAAUCAAGAGUCAGAUUGUGAUAUACUAGAAACAAGUAAGUAAUAUUAGGGUUUCCACAAUAAUUAACCUUCAUCUAACACCCAACACCACUGUAAAAACAAUCGUCACCUAUUCAAAACCGCCGCCAAUGAUCGCUCCCUUCCAGAAAACAAGCCAUCGUGAACCAAAAUUAUGAACUAGCAUAGGGUUUUCUCAACUGCGCUUUCUUACUCUUUCACUCAUGCCGAUUCAAGAUGAGUGGCGAGGGAAACAAAAAUAUGCUCUGAUCUUUUACUAUCCAUCAAUUGAAAAACGGUGGUGUGAUUUUGUCCUUGCGGGUGCAUACCUGCGUAUUGCUAUGAAGAAAAUAAAGAAAUGGCUUUUUC